rnacentral:rRNA from 1 species
GGGACACGUGGUAUCCUGUCUGAAUAUGGGGGGACCAUCCUCCAAGGCUAAAUACUCCUGACUGACCGAUAGUGAACCAGUACCGUGAGGGAAAGGCGAAAAGAACCCCGGCGAGGGGAGUGAAAAAGAACCUGAAACCGUGUACGUACAAGCAGUGGGAGCCUCUUAAUGGGGUGACUGCGUACCUUUUGUAUAAUGGGUCAGCGACUUAUAUUCUGUAGCAAGGUUAACCGAAUAGGGGAGCCGAAGGGAAACCGAGUCUUAACUGGGCGUUAAGUUGCAGGGUAUAGACCCGAAACCCGGUGAUCUAGCCAUGGGCAGGUUGAAGGUUGGGUAACACUAACUGGAGGACCGAACCGACUAAUGUUGAAAAAUUAGCGGAUGACUUGUGGCUGGGGGUGAAAGGCCAAUCAAACCGGGAGAUAGCUGGUUCUCCCCGAAAGCUAUUUAGGUAGCGCCUCGUGAAUUCAUCUCCGGGGGUAGAGCACUGUUUCGGCAAGGGGGUCAUCCCGACUUACCAACCCGAUGCAAACUGCGAAUACCGGAGAAUGUUAUCACGGGAGACACACGGCGGGUGCUAACGUCCGUCGUGAAGAGGGAAACAACCCAGACCGCCAGCUAAGGUCCCAAAGUCAUGGUUAAGUGGGAAACGAUGUGGGAAGGCCCAGACAGCCAGGAUGUUGGCUUAGAAGCAGCCAUCAUUUAAAGAAAGCGUAAUAGCUCACUGGUCGAGUCGGCCUGCGCGGAAGAUGUAACGGGGCUAAACCAUGCACCGAAGCUGCGGCAGCGACACUAUGUGUUGUUGGGUAGGGGAGCGUUCUGUAAGCCUGUGAAGGUGGCCUGUGAGGGUUGCUGGAGGUAUCAGAAGUGCGAAUGCUGACAUAAGUAACGAUAAAGCGGGUGAAAAGCCCGCUCGCCGGAAGACCAAGGGUUCCUGUCCAACGUUAAUCGGGGCAGGGUGAGUCGACCCCUAAGGCGAGGCCGAAAGGCGUAGUCGAUGGGAAACAGGUUAAUAUUCCUGUACUUGGUGUUACUGCGAAGGGGGGACGGAGAAGGCUAUGUUGGCCGGGCGACGGUUGUCCCGGUUUAAGCGUGUAGGCUGGUUUUCCAGGCAAAUCCGGAAAACCAAGGCUGAGGCGUGAUGACGAGGCACUACGGUGCUGAAGCGACAAAUGCCCUGCUUCCAGGAAAAGCCUCUAAGCAUCAGGUAACAUCAAAUCGUACCCCAAACCGACACAGGUGGUCAGGUAGAGAAUACCAAGGCGCUUGAGAGAACUCGGGUGAAGGAACUAGGCAAAAUGGUGCCGUAACUUCGGGAGAAGGCACGCUGAUAUGUAGGUGAAGCGACUUGCUCGUGGAGCUGAAAUCAGUCGAAGAUACCAGCUGGCUGCAACUGUUUAUUAAAAACACAGCACUGUGCAAACACGAAAGUGGACGUAUACGGUGUGACGCCUGCCCGGUGCCGGAAGGUUAAUUGAUGGGGUUAGCGGCAACGCGAAGCUCUUGAUCGAAGCCCCGGUAAACGGCGGCCGUAACUAUAACGGUCCUAAGGUAGCGAAAUUCCUUGUCGGGUAAGUUCCGACCUGCACGAAUGGCGUAAUGAUGGCCAGGCUGUCUCCACCCGAGACUCAGUGAAAUUGAACUCGCUGUGAAGAUGCAGUGUACCCGCGGCAAGACGGAAAGACCCCGUGAACCUUUACUAUAGCUUGACACUGAACAUUGAGCCUUGAUGUGUAGGAUAGGUGGGAGGCUUUGAAGUGUGGACGCCAGUCUGCAUGGAGCCGACCUUGAAAUACCACCCUU